ensembl:lncRNA
CACACACACACACACAGAGUCCUUGAGUGGUCCGGUCACAGAUUUAUUAAGUGUCUGUUCUGUACAAUAAAACACACCAGAGCAACAGAAAUAAUAAUAAUAAAAAAAACUCCAAUACAGAUGCAGUACAUGAUCAAUACAGACGCAGUACAUGAUCAAAGUUAAAUGUAGGCUGAGAAUGGCCAGCUUUGGUGGAAGAAGGGUUUAAGAGACACACACAUACACUCACACAUCUCCUCUGAAACUGCUUCACUGCUGCUGACGGCAACAGGAGCAAUAACGCACACGCACACACUCGCACACACACACACACACACGCACGCACGCACACGCACACACGCACAUCCAUCCAUUACAUACACAGGUUCAACAUAAGGGUGAGUCAUAGAGUGGGAGCAGUUAUAUGGGGGAGAAACUUAUAAAACAAAAAACAAAUGAAAAACAUUACAUAGAGGUUAUGCAGGGGUGAGGGCUUAUGAAGGCCUUAUGAAGGGGGUGAGGGGUUAUGAAGGGGGGUGAGGGCUUAUGAAGGCCUUAUGAAGGGGGCUGAGGGGUUAUGAAGGGGGGUGAGGGCUUAUGAAGGGGGGUGAGGGCUUAUGAAGGCCUUAUGAAGGGGGCUGAGGGCUUAUG